rnacentral:rRNA from 1 species
GUCUCCUGCCAUAGUGCCCUGAGGUGCCUCAUCUCAUCUGAUCUUGGACGCUAAGCAGGGUCAGCCUUGGUUAGUACUUUGAUAGGAGGAUGUACCUAGCAUGUACAAAACCCUGGAUUCU